rnacentral:rRNA from 1 species
GACGUAGGGCGCGAGCGUUGUCCGGAUUUAUUGGGCGUAAAGAGCUCGUAGGCGGUGUGUCGCGUCGGCCGUGAAAACCUGCAGCUCAACUGUGGGCUUGCGGUCGAUACGGGCAUCACUGGAGUUCGGCAGGGGAGACUGGAAUUCCUGGUGUAGCGGUGAAAUGCGCAGAUAUCAGGAGGAACACCGGUGGCGAAGGCGGGUCUCUGGGCCGAUACUGACGCUGAGGAGCGAAAGCGUGGGGAGCAAACAGG